rnacentral:lncRNA from 1 species
ACGGAUCUCCACCUUUUAUUCAUGUUAUAGAUUUUGAUAUUGGCCUUGGUUGCCAGUAUGCUUCGUUCAUGAGAGAGCUAUUUGAGAAAGCUGACUCGUGUAAACUCACGUCUCCUGUUCUUCGAAUCACUGCUAUCGUAACAGAGGACUGCGCGAUUGAAACUCAGUUGAUCAAACAGUGUCUAUCACAAUACGCUAUUGAACUGAAAAUCAGAUUCCAGAUUGAGUUUGUUCUUUUCCGUACCUUUGAAAUGGUAUCUUUUAAAUCAAUCAAGUUUAUUGAUGGGGAGAAAACAGCC